AAUGAACGUUGGCGGCGUGGAUUAGGCAUGCAAGUCGAGCGAGAACCCGCAAGGGGGACAGCGGCAAACGGGGUAGUAAUGUGUCGGAACGUGCCCUCUGGACGGGGAUAGCGGCGGGAAACUGCCGGUAAUACCCGAUGAACUCGAGAGAGCAAAGGUGUGAUUCCGCCGGAGGAGCGGCCGACAUGGUAUUAGCUAGUUGGCGGGGUAACGGCCCACCAAGGCUGUGAUGCCUAGGGGAUGUGAGAGCAUGAUCCCCACCAUUGGGACUGAGACACUGCCCAGACACCUACGGGUGUCUGCAGUCGAGAAUCUUCGUCAAUGGGCGAAAGCCUGAACGAGCGACGCCGCGUGCGGGAUGAAGGCCCUUGGGUUGUAAACCGCUGUCGAGGGGGAUGAAGGCAUUCAGGUACUCCUGAAUGUUUGACAGAGCCCUGGAGGAAGCACGGGCUAAGUUCGUGCCAGCAGCCGCGGUAAAAC
rnacentral:rRNA from 1 species